ACCAGACUCCUACGGGAGGCAGCAGUGAGGAAUAUUGGUCAAUGGGCGGAAGCCUGAACCAGCCAAGUCGCGUGAGGGAAGAAGGCCCUGCGGGUCGCAGACCUCUUUGGACGGGGAGCAAGGCCGCCGACGUGUCGGCGGAAGGAGAGUACCCGUAGAACAAGCAUCGGCUAACUCCGUGCCAGCAGCCGCGGUAAUACGGAGGAUGCGAGCGUUAUCCGGAUUUAUUGGGUUUAAAGGGUGCGCAGGCGGCACGGCAAGCCGGCGGUCAAAUCGCGGGGCUCAACCCCGCCCAGCCGUCGGAACUGUCGGGCUAGAGUGGGCGAGAAGUACGCGGAAUGCGUGGUGUAGCGGUGAAAUGCAUAGAUAUCACGCAGAACUCCGAUUGCGAAGGCAGCGUACCGGCGCCCAACUGACGCUGAAGCACGAAGGCGUGGGUAUCGAACAGGAUUAGAUACCCCAGUA
rnacentral:rRNA from 1 species